UACGUAGGGUGCAAGCGUUGUCCGGAUUUAUUGGGCGUAAAGAGCUCGUAGGCGGUUAGUCACGUCGGAUGUGAAAACCCGGAGCUUAACUCCGGGCCUGCAUUCGAUACGGGCUGACUAGAGUGUUGUAGGGGAGACUGGAACUCCUGGUGUAGCGGUGAAAUGCGCAGAUAUCAGGAGGAACACCGGUGGCGAAGGCGGGUCUCUGGGCCAUUACUGACGCUGAGGAGCGAAAGCGUGGGGAGCAAACAGG
rnacentral:rRNA from 1 species